ensembl:lncRNA
CCAAGGUCAGGCUGUCCACCUCUGAGGCUUCCCUGUCUGGCUCAUUGAAAUCCAUGUGCUUCAGGAUGGGAGGCCAAGGAGACUCAGGCCCUGAGCAUCAAGGAAUGACUGCUUGAAGAUGAAGGGCCCCUGAGCUGUCCUUGGACCUUAACUCAUCUCACAGGGGCUAAUGUGGGACGCCUACCACAGCAUGGCGUGCCAGCAGUGCCAUGUCCAUAUCCGGGAUCCGAACUGGUGAACCCCAGGCCUCUGAAGCAGAACGUAAACAGAAUCCUGGUGAAGCAGUCUCGGUGAGAGGCACAGUGACCCAUGGGCAUUAGGAUCCUCAUUCUGGCCAGUAGAGCCAAGCUCCUAUCCACAGAAACCAAUUCAUCUGCUCCCAAAGGAUUGACCGAACAGUUCAAAUAAAGCUCAAUGAACCACGGAGCUUCAGGACAUUUGUGUUCCUGAUACCACAUGGUUAACUCAAACUCCUUCAGUGCCAAUUGGUUUCAGAAUUUGCUGUUUGGAACACAGAUUUUCCCUCAUCAUAUUUUCUCCUUAAUGCAGUAUACUAAAUUCACAAAAUAUAUUCAACUUUUAAAUAUAACAUUAACACAGAAAUAGGCUUUGUACCUUUCUUCAAAGUAAACAUCUGUUAAUUACUCUGGUGCUGGAGCUGGAAAAAUUCAGAUUGUGUGAAGAUUGUACCAGUUUAAUAAAAUAGGACAGAAAAACAGCCAACAUGGUGGCACCAUUAGACUGAUUGUUUUCUGUAGAUAUGCAGAAUAUAUGAAUAAUAAUGUUUCUCUUCAUAACUCUUGCUGACUUGAAGGCAUGAUCGAAUAGUAUAUUUCUGAUUAAUCCAGGGCCCAGUCCACAUAGGCACAUGUGCAGAGUUCUGAUAAGGUGAAGAAAGAUGUGUUUCCAUGUCAACAAUUUAAAGGUUGGAACUAUUUUGAGUUGUUAAUAUAAACUUUGAUAUUAACUCAUUGACUUUGAUGGUUUUGCAAAGAAUAAAUUCUAACACA